UUGAAUUUUCCGAAUUAGCAGUGAUUGAUUACUAAUUUAGUAGUAGCAAAUCAAUUAUUUUAAUUGAGAUCUAAAAUAUCAAUUUAAUGAAUUAUAUGUUAGAAUUGAUUUCUUACCUUAUUAGAAUAAUUGAUUACUAAUUUUAUGGCAAAUCAAUUAUUGUAAUUAAGAUCUAAAAUGUCAAUUCAACGAAUUAAAAGAUUUAUUUCUUUAU
rnacentral:lncRNA from 1 species